rnacentral:rRNA from 1 species
AGAGUGUUGGGUUAAGUCCCGUAGCGAGCGCAACCCUUGUCCUUAGUUACCAGCACGUUAUGGUGGGCACUCUAAGGAGACUGCCGGUGACAAACCGGAGGAAGGUGGGGAUGACGUCAAGUCAUCAUGGCCCUUACGGCCUGGGCUACACACGUGCUACAAUGGUCGGUACAAAGGGUUGCCAAGCCGCGAGGUGGAGCUAAUCCCAUAAAACCGAUCGUAGUCCGGAUCGCAGUCUGCAACUCGACUGCGUGAAGUCGGAAUCGCUAGUAAUCGUGAAUCAGAAUGUCACGGUGAAUACGUUCCCGGGCCUU